rnacentral:rRNA from 1 species
GAUGAACGCUGGCGGCGUGCUUAACACAUGCAAGUCGAACGAUGAAGCCCAGCUUGCCGGGUGGAUUAGUGGCGAACGGGUGAGUAACACGUGAGUAACCUGCCCUUAACUCUGGGAUAAGCCUGGGAAACUGGGCCUAAUACCGGAUAGGAGCGUCCACCGCAUGGUGGGUGUUGGAAAGAUUUAUCGGUUUUGGAUGGACUCGCGGCCUAUCAGCUUGUUGGUGAGGUAAUGGCUCACCAAGGCGACGACGGGUAGCCGGCCUGAGAGGGUGACCGGCCACACUGGGACUGAGACACGGCCCAGACUCCUACGGGAGGCAGCAGUGGGGAAUAUUGCACAAUGGGCGCAAGCCUGAUGCAGCGACGCCGCGUGAGGGAUGACGGCCUUCGGGUUGUAAACCUCUUUCAGUAGGGAAGAAGCGAAAGUGACGGUACCUGCAGAAGAAGCACCGGCUAACUACGUG